rnacentral:sRNA from 1 species
UGACAGAGCUCCCCAUACCGAGCAGCGC